CCUACGGGUGGCUGCAGUGGGGAAUAUUGCACAAUGGGGGAAACCCUGAUGCAGCGACGCAGCGUGAGUGAAGAAGUACCUCGGUAUGUAAAGCUCUAUCAGCAGGGAAGAAAAUGACGGUAUCUGACUAAGUAGCUCUGGCUAACUACGUGCCAGCAGCAGCGGUAAUAUGCCGGGGGCAAGCGUUAUCCGGAUUUACUGGGUGUAAAGGGAGCGUAGUCGGAGCUGCAAGUGCGGUGUGAAAGCCCAUGGCUUAACCGUGGAACUGCUCUGGAAACUGGGGAGCUUGAGUGCGGGAGAGGCAGGCGGAAUUCGUAGUGUAGCGGUGAAAUGCGUAGAUAUUAGGAGGAACACCGACUGCGAAGGCGGCCUGCUGGACCGUAACUGACGUUGAGGCUCGAAAGCGUGGGGAGCAAACAGGAUUAGAUACCCGGGUAGUC
rnacentral:rRNA from 1 species